AACGAACGCUGGCGGCAGGCUUAACACAUGCAAGUCGAGCGCCCCGCAAGGGGAGCGGCAGACGGGUGAGUAACGCGUGGGAAUCUACCCAUCUCUACGGAAUAACGCAUGGAAACGUGUGCUAAUACCGUAUACGUCCUUCGGGAGAAAGAUUUAUCGGAGAUGGAUGAGCCCGCGUUGGAUUAGCUAGUUGGUGGGGUAAAGGCCUACCAAGGCGACGAUCCAUAGCUGGUCUGAGAGGAUGAUCAGCCACACUGGGACUGAGACACGGCCCAGACUCAUACGGGAGGCAGCAGUGGGGAAUAUUGGACAAUGGGCGCAAGCCUGAUCCAGCCAUGCCGCGUGAGUGAUGAAGGCCCUAGGGUUGCAAAGCUCUUUCACCGGUGAAGAUAAUGACGGUAACCGGAGAAGAAGCCCCGGCUAACUUCGUGCCAGCCGCCGCCGUAAUAC
rnacentral:rRNA from 1 species